rnacentral:snoRNA from 1 species
GCAUGGGUUUGGAUUUAUGGCAGGUUUGUCCCUCUGAACCUCUCAUAGUGUCCUUUGCCAGAGCAAACUAUGUCUCUGAACCAUUGCCUGCAGGCUGCUGGCACUGAACUGGGUUGCACAGUG